AGUGAACGCUGGCGGUAGGCCUAACACAUGCAAGUCGAACGGCAGCACAGUAAGAGCUUGCUCUUACGGGUGGCGAGUGGCGGACGGGUGAGGAAUACAUCGGAAUCUACUUUUUCGUGGGGGAUAACGUAGGGAAACUUACGCUAAUACCGCAUACGACCUACGGGUGAAAGCAGGGGAUCUUCGGACCUUGCGCGAUUGAAUGAGCCGAUGUCGGAUUAGCUAGUUGGCGGGGUAAAGGCCCACCAAGGCGACGAUCCGUAGCUGGUCUGAGAGGAUGAUCAGCCACACUGGAACUGAGACACGGUCCAGACUCCUACGGGAGGCAGCAGUGGGGAAUAUUGGACAAUGGGCGCAAGCCUGAUCCAGCCAUACCGCGUGGGUGAAGAAGGCCUUCGGGUUGUAAAGCCCUUUUGUUGGGAAAGAAAAGAAGCAGGUUAAUACACGGCUGUUCUGACGGUACCCAAAGAAUAAGCACCGGCUAACUUCGUG
rnacentral:rRNA from 1 species